GAUGCAGAACAGCUCGUGUAACUGACUCAUAAAAAAGGAUCUGUAAUAUAUCAUUUGUUAUUUUCUGCAUGUCUUUGUUUGACCAUUUUGUCGUUCCCUCCAUGCUUUUAUUUUGAAGGCGCAUUUUAUGUUCGCGCUUUUAUUUUGACACUUCCAGUGGAACCGGAAGUGCAGCGCUAUAGAAACGUGUGCUUAAAUCAAAAGGAAAGGUCUCAAAACUCCGGAGAAUCAAGGAAAGAAAAGGAAAACGGACAGACUACAUUGAUUUAAUAUCACCAGAAGAUGGACAAACUUUAAUAGUGCC